AACGAACGCUGGCGGCAUGCCUAACACAUGCAAGUCGAACGAUGCCUUCGGGCAUAGUGGCGCACGGGUGAGUAACGCGUGGGAACCUGCCCUGUGGUACGGAAUAACUCCGGGAAACUGGAGCUAAUACCGUAUGUGUACCCUGGGACAAAGAUUUAUCGCCACGGGAUGGGCCCGCGUAGGAUUAGCUUGUUGGUGGGGUAACGGCCUACCAAGGCUACGAUCCUUAGCUGGUCUGAGAGGAUGAUCAGCCACACUGGGACUGAGACACGGCCCAGACUCCUACGGGAGGCAGCAGUGGGGAAUAUUGGACAAUGGGCGCAAGCCUGAUCCAGCAAUGCCGCGUGAGUGAUGAAGGCCUUCGGGUUGUAAAGCUCUUUCGCACGCGACGAUGAUGACGGUAGCGGGAGAAGAAGCCCCGGCUAACUUCGUG
rnacentral:rRNA from 1 species